rnacentral:tRNA from 1 species
GGCCGCCUGGCGAAAUGGCAUCGCGUCUGACUACGAUAAUUGUAAUCAGGAGAUUGCAGGUUCGACCCCUGCGGUGGUCA